UACGAAGGGGGCUAGCGUUGCUCGGAAUUACUGGGCGUAAAGGGAGCGUAGGCGGACAUUUAAGUCAGGGGUGAAAUCCCAGAGCUCAACUCUGGAACUGCCUUUGAUACUGGGUGUCUUGAGUGUGAGAGAGGUAUGUGGAACUCCGAGUGUAGAGGUGAAAUUCGUAGAUAUUCGGAAGAACACCAGUGGCGAAGGCGACAUACUGGCUCAUUACUGACGC
rnacentral:rRNA from 1 species